rnacentral:rRNA from 1 species
UACGUAGGGGACGAGCGUUGUCCGGAUUCAUUGGGCGUAAAGCGCGCGUAGGCGGCUCGGAAAGUCGGGCGUGAAAUGCCGGGGCUCAACCCCGGGCUUGCGGUCGAUACGGGCAGGCGUGGAGUUCGGUAGGGGAGACUGGAAUUCCUGGUGUAGCGGUGAAAUGCGCAGAUAUCAGGAGGAACACCGGUGGCGAAGGCGGGUCUCUGGGCCGAUACUGACGCUGAGGAGCGAAAGCGUGGGGAGCGAACAGG